GAUGAACGCUGGCGGCGUGCCUAAUACAUGCAAGUCGAGCGAACAGACGAGGAGCUUGCUCCUCUGACGUUAGCGGCGGACGGGUGAGUAACACGUGGAUAACCUACCUAUAAGACUGGGAUAACUUCGGGAAACCGGAGCUAAUACCGGAUAAUAUAUUGAACCGCAUGGUUCAAUAGUGAAAGACGGUUUUGCUGUCACUUAUAGAUGGAUCCGCGCCGCAUUAGCUAGUUGGUAAGGUAACGGCUUACCAAGGCAACGAUGAGUAGCCGACCUGAGAGGGUGAUCGGCCACACUGGAACUGAGACACGGUCCAGACUCCUACGGGAGGCAGCAGUAGGGAAUCUUCCGCAAUGGGCGAAAGCUUGACGGAGCAACGCCGCGUGAGUGAUGAAGGUCUUCGGAUCGUAAAACUCUGUUAUUAGGGAAGAACAAAUGUGUAAGUAACUAUGCACGUCUUGACGGUACCUAAUCAGAAAGCCACGGCUAACUACGUG
rnacentral:rRNA from 1 species